rnacentral:rRNA from 1 species
AUGGAGGUUGCUAUAGAAGAUGUCAUGCCACAUACAACACAUCGGUGGUGCAAAUGGCAUGUGCUGAAGAAAGCAGAGGAGUCCCUUGGGCCACUGCUAGGCAAGGGGGGUGAGUUCAAACAGGAAUUCAACAAGAUGGUCCAUCACAUGAUGACCAGCACGAAGUGGAGUGAAAGUGCAAAUCAUUUGCUCAAAGGGUAUGUGCUGCCAGGAUCCCCGAUGCAUGUCUUAGUCAGGCAAUAUGAGAAUAUGCAAUUUGAUAGAGAUUCGGAGGAGAGUUAUCGGGAGAAGAGAACCAAACUGGGUGGUGUUGUGCUGGCUCCGAACCUACCUAUUGAGAUACAUGCAUAA